rnacentral:rRNA from 1 species
UACGUAGGGACCGAGCGUUGUCCGGAAUUAUUGGGCGUAAAGAGCUCGUAGGCGGUUUGUCGCGUCGGCUGUGAAAACCCGGGGCUCAACCCCCGGGCCUGCAGUCGAUACGGGCAAACUAGAGUGUGGUAGGGGAGACUGGAAUUCCUGGUGUAGCGGUGAAAUGCGCAGAUAUCAGGAGGAACACCGGUGGCGAAGGCGGGUCUCUGGGCCAUAACUGACGCUGAGGAGCGAAAGCGUGGGGAGCGAACAGG